rnacentral:misc_RNA from 1 species
UCCCCGUUACCGAGGCAGUCUGGCUAGAAAAAUUCAACUAACCAUAGGGGUUGCGCUCGUUGAUGGACUUAACCAAACAUCUCACGACACGAGCUGACGACGGCCAUGCAUCACCUGUCACUAGGCUCCUUGCGGCACUUUUUCCUUUCAGAAAAAUUCCCAGGAUGUCAAGCCUUGGUAAGGUUCUUCGCUUAUCGUCGAAUUAAACAACACGCUCCACCGCUUGUGCGGGUCCCCGUCAAUUCCUUUAUGUUUUAGCCUUGCGGCCGUACUCCACAGGCGGGAUGCUUAACGCGUUAGCUUCGCUACUAACCGGGUCGAUACGGCUAACAGCUAGCAUCCAUAGUUUACGGCGUGGACUAC